rnacentral:rRNA from 1 species
GAUGAACGCUGGCGGCGUGCUUAACACAUGCCAGUCGAACGAUGAAGCCCAGCUUGCUGGGUGGAUUAGUGGCGAACGGGUGAGUAACACGUGAGUAACCUGCCCUUGACUCUGGGAUAAGCCUGGGAAACUGGGUCUAAUACUGGAUAUGACUUCUCAUCGCAUGGUGGGGGGUGGAAAGAUUUAUUGGUCUUGGAUGGACUCGCGGCCUAUCAGCUUGUUGGUGAGGUAAUGGCUCACCAAGGCGACGACGGGUAGCCGGCCUGAGAGGGUGACCGGCCACACUGGGACUGAGACACGGCCCAGACUCCUACGGGAGGCAGCAGUGGGGAAUAUUGCACAAUGGGCGCAAGCCUGAUGCAGCGACGCCGCGUGAGGGAUGACGGCCCUCGGGUUGUAAACCUCUUUCAGUAGGGAAGAAGCGAGAGUGACGGUACCUGCAGAAGAAGCGCCGGCUAACUACGUG